CUACGGGUGGCUCCAGUGGGGAAUAUUGCGCAAUGGGCGAAAGCCUGACGCAGCGACGCAGCGUGAGGGACGACGGCCUUCGGGUUGUAAACCUCUUUCAGCGGGGACGAAGCGAAAGUGACGGUACCCGCAGAAGAAGCACCGGCUAACUACGUGCCAGCAGCCGCGGUAAUACGUAGGGUGCAAGCAUUGUCCGGAUUUAUUGGGCGUAAAGAGCUCGUAGGCGGCUUGUCACGUCGGAUGUGAAAACUCGGGGCUCAACCCCGAGCCUGCAUUCGAUACGGGCUAGCUAGAGUGUUGCAGGGGAGACUGGAAUUCCUGGUGUAGCGGUGAAAUGCGCAGAUAUCAGGAGGAACACCGGUGGCGAAGGCGGGUCUCUGGGCAACUACUGACGCUGAGGAGCGAAAGCGUGGGGAGCGAACAGGAUUAGAUACCCUGGUAGUC
rnacentral:rRNA from 1 species